rnacentral:rRNA from 1 species
UACGUAGGCAGCAAGCGUUGUUCGGAGUUACUGGGCGUAAAGGGCGUGUAGGCGGACCUAUAAGUCUAUUCUGAAAGCUCCUGGCUAAACUGGGAGAGGCGAAUGGAGACUGUAGAUCUAGAGUGAGGAAGAGGAAAGUGGAAUUCCGCGUGUAGUGGUGAAAUGCGUAGAGAUGCGGAGGAACACCAGUGGCGAAAGCGACUUUCUGGUCCUUAACUGACGCUGAGGCGCGAAAGCAUGGGGAGCGAACGGG